AGUGAACGCUGGCGGUAGGCCUAACACAUGCAAGUCGAACGGCAGCACAGUAAUAGCUUGCUCUUACGGGUGGCGAGUGGCGGACGGGUGAGGAAUACAUCGGAAUCUACUUUUUCGUGGGGGAUAACGUAGGGAAACUUACGCUAAUACCGCAUACGACCUACGGGUGAAAGCAGGGGAACUUCGGACCUUGCGCGAUUGAAUGAGCCGAUGUCGGAUUAGCUAGUUGGCGGGGUAAAGGCCCACCAAGGCGAGGAUCCGUAGCUGGUCUGAGAGGAUGAUCGGCCACCCUGGAACUGAGACACGGUCCAGGCUCCUACGGGAGGCAGCAGUGGGGAAUAUUGGACAAUGGGCGCAAGCCUGGUCCAGCCGUACCGCGUGGGUGAAGAAGGCGUUCGGGUUGUAAAGCCGUUUUGUUGGGAAAGAAAAGCAGCAGGUUAAUACCCCGCUGUUCUGACGGUACCCAAAGAAUAAGCACCGGCUAACUUCGUG
rnacentral:rRNA from 1 species